GAGCUCAAAUACAGACCUGUCCAGCCCUGAUAGCACCAUGGGCCCGGGCCCAGUGUGGUUGAUGGCUGUUUGUAUCCUGGGAGCAGGCCCCUCGGAAGCGGAAGUCAUCCAGACCCCCAGACAUCUGGUCACCGGCAGGGGACAGAACGUGUCGCUGAGUUGUGAGCAUGACCGGAGUCACAAUACCAUGUACUGGUACUGGCAACAGGCAGGCCAGGAGCUGCAGUUUCUGAUUUACUUCCAGAACGGGGCUGAAAUGGACAAUUCAGGAAUGACCAUCAAACGCUUCUCAGUUGAGGUCCGGGACUCAUCUUCAAAGCUGUCAAUCCAGCGCACUGAACCUGGAGACUCGGCUUGGUAUUUUUGUGCGAGCAGUUUCUCCACAGCGCUGGGGUCCCGGCCCUGCCCCAUACACAAACCUCCCGCCUGUGCUAAGUGA